rnacentral:piRNA from 1 species
UAGUGUUUUGAUCUGGUUUUAUGGCUUGCC